CCUAAACAUUGCAUUUUAUGGUAAAUAAUGUUGAAAGCAACAUAAGGCUACAUAGUGAAAGAACAAAACAUGAUCCCAUUCUACAUCUUGGGAUAAUUCUUUUUAAUACAAAGUGAGCAGAGAUGCAUAAGAGAGCAUUUUAGCAUGACAGCAUUAAUCUAUGUUUCAUUGUGUCUGUCAGAACAGGAUUCACGAGGAUGAAACCUGUACUGAACAGGAGCAAUCUUCUGAAACUGCAAAAAUGACAUUUCUGAAAGACAGCAAGUGAAAUUUUUAUCAUCUUAAUUAAAAGCCAAAUCCUACAGUCUUUACAGAAUAAAACUUCCUACUUAGUGCUACAGGGACAUUUUAGAAAGAUAGCAUAGUGCAGACUGGUAACAGUGUUUAGCCAGUCAGGAUGUCAUCUCUUCCUAACAAACAGGUACCCUUUCUGUCAUAACAUCAUGGAUAGUGCUUGUCUAAGAUAGCAUCAUUCAAACAACCAAUUUUCCCAUGUAGUGAGGAGAAACUACAUAAACAAGACAUGAUGGGACUUCCUGAAAGGCAGAGGAUGAAGUAGAAAGAAAGAAAGAAAGAAAGAAAGAAAGAAAGAAAGAAAGAAAGAAAGAAAGAAAGAGAGAGAGAGAAAGAGCUACUGGGUAAUGUUUUUUAGCUUUGCACAUUGCUCAGACCAACUCUUAAAUCUUACAGAAAACUCUUCAUCUCACCUGCCACAGUGAUCAUUCUUCGUCUGCCCUACAUGCAAGGAUUGAUUGCCCAUCAAGAACUGUUUGGUGAUCACCUAUCAGUAAGGCCUAGAGAAUCCUAACAGAGGGCUUCAUUUACAAACCCAGAUGAGGAAAGAAUGUUUCAGGGCACUAAUUUAAGGAUUGCUUUCCCGAUUGCAACAGUUAUCUCCUUAAGAAGAAACGUAGUUAUUGAUAUGAAAUAAGACAGGUGGAUGAAUAGGGGAAAGAUGACAAGUGAUCACCUUAAAUGGAAAAUACACUCAAUGCAGACAGUCUGCUCACAUGUCAUUCACAGGGGCUUGAAUACUUCGAGGUGCUUCUGUUUCUUCUGAAAAAGAAGGAAAGAAAGGAAAUAAGGAAGAGAGAAAGAAAAAGAGAAAGGAAGAGAAAGGGAGGGAAGGAAGGAGGGAAGGAAGGAGGGAGGUAGGAGAGGAGGGAGGGAGGGAGGAAAACAAAGUACUGGAAAAUCCUAAAAUGGCUGUCUUGUUCUGAAGAAAUGAGAGUAUUUCUCUCUUUAAAAAGUUCUUGUGGGUUUUUUAUUUUAUUUUUUUUUGUUUUGUUUUUCUUUUUCUCUCUCUCUUUUUUUUUUUUUUUUUUUUUUUUUGUAAAAAUCUCUAAUUGAGUUACAAGAUAUUUUAUGUCCUUGAAAUUUCAUUUUUCUGUCAGGCUCCACUGAAAGGGAUAUUUUUCUUGUCAAAUCAUGUAUAACUACACAAAAAAGGCACAUGUUCCUGAAACACUAUGAUGGUAAAAUUUCAUUUGGAAUGAAAGACAUUAUAGAAAUGUAGGUGUAUUGUUGUUGUUGAAAAUAAUGUUACGUAACAGAAAAUUGAUGGACUUGCAGCUGCUUUAUUCAUUUAUUUAUUUAUUUAUGGACAGGAGAUGUAGUUACUGCUCAUUUCCCAGUGCUCCCUGCAUUGGCUGCCCCUGUUAAUGGCACUGGGAGAACUUCAGUGGAUUGCAGUGGGGAGUAAAUGGGGCCGCCAGUACCUAAACUUUAUUUCUCAUUUCUUUUAGGAAUACAAAGAGCAACACUCUGACAGGCAGAGAGCAGUGAGGAAAUUAUCUUAAUUGCUAAAGCAAUAACGCUUAAUACAAAGCAUGACACAUGAAUAAAAUCCAAAAGAAAGGAGAUACUAGCUGCA
ensembl:lncRNA